CAAGUCGAACGGUGAAGCCCAGCUUGCUGGGUGGAUCAGUGGCGAACGGGUGAGUAACACGUGAGCAACCUGCCCUCCACUUCGGGAUAAGCCUUGGAAACGGGGUCUAAUACCGGAUAUGAGCAUCUGCCGCAUGGUGGGUGUUGGAAAGUUUUUCGGUGGGGGAUGGGCUCGCGGCCUAUCAGCUUGUUGGUGGGGUGAUGGCCUACCAAGGCGUCGACGGGUAGCCGGCCUGAGAGGGCGACCGGCCACACUGGGACUGAGACACGGCCCAGACUCCUACGGGAGGCAGCAGUGGGGAAUAUUGCACAAUGGGCGAAAGCCUGAUGCAGCGACGCCGCGUGAGGGAUGACGGCCUUCGGGUUGUAAACCUCUUUCAGCAGGGAAGAAGGCCUUCGGGUGGACGGUACCUGCAGAAGAAGCGCCGGCUAACUACGUGCCAGCAGCCGCGGUAAUACGUAGGGCGCAAGCGUUGUCCGGAAUUAUUGGGCGUAAAGAGCUCGUAGGCGGUCUGUCGCGUCUGGUGUGAAAUCCCGAGGCUCAACCUCGGGCUUGCAUCGGGUACGGGCAGACUAGAGUACUGUAGGGGAGACUGGAAUUCCUGGUGUAGCGGUGGAAUGCGCAGAUAUCAGGAGGAACACCGAUGGCGAAGGCAGGUCUCUGGGCAGUUACUGACGCUGAGGAGCGAAAGCAUGGGGAGCGAACAGGAUUAGAUACCCUGGUAGUCCAUGCCGUAAACGUUGGG
rnacentral:rRNA from 1 species